GAUGAACGCUGGCGGCGUGCUUAACACAUGCAAGUCGAACGAAGCAUUUAGGACAGAUUACUUCGGUUUGAAGUUCUUUAUGACUGAGUGGCGGACGGGUGGGUAACGCGUGGGUAACCUGCCUUGUACUGGGGGAUAGCAGCUGGAAACGGCUGGUAAUACCGCAUAAGCGCACAAUGUUGCAUGACAUGGUGUGAAAAACUCCGGUGGUAUAAGAUGGACCCGCGUCUGAUUAGCUAGUUGGUGAGAUAACAGCCCACCAAGGCGACGAUCAGUAGCCGACCUGAGAGGGUGACCGGACACAUUGGGACUGAGACACGGCCCAGACUCCUACGGGAGGCAGCAGUGGGGAAUAUUGCAAAAUGGAGGAAACUCUGAUGCAGCGACGCCGCGUGAGUGAAGAAGUAAUUCGUUAUGUAAAGCUCUAUCAGCAGGGAAGAUAGUGACGGUACCUGACUAAGAAGCUCCGGCUAAAUACGUG
rnacentral:rRNA from 1 species